UCAUACUACCCUACCACUCUGAAUGUGUCCAAUCUCUUCUGACCGUGGAAGCUAAGUAAGGUCAGGUCUAGCUAGCACUUGGAUUGGAGACAUUAAAGAACACGCCCAAGUAUGUC
ensembl:rRNA 5S_rRNA 5S ribosomal RNA